GACGAACGCUGGCGGCGUGCUUAACACAUGCAAGUCGAACGCUGAAGCUCAGCUUUUGUUGGGUGGAUGAGUGGCGAACGGGUGAGUAACACGUGAGUAACCUGCCCCCUUCUUUGGGGUAACGCCCGGAAACGGGUGCUAAUACUGGAUAUUCACUGGUCUUCGCAUGGGGGUUGGUGGAAAGGGUUUUUCUGGUGGGGGAUGGGCUCGCGGCCUAUCAGCUUGUUGGUGGGGUGAUGGCCUACCAAGGCUUUGACGGGUAGCCGGCCUGAGAGGGUGACCGGUCACAUUGGGACUGAGAUACGGCCCAGACUCCUACGGGAGGCAGCAGUGGGGAAUAUUGCACAAUGGGCGCAAGCCUGAUGCAGCGACGCCGCGUGAGGGAUGGAGGCCUUCGGGUUGUGAACCUCUUUCGCUCAUGGUCAAGCCGCAACAAUGGUUGUGGUGAGGGUAGUGGGUAAAGAAGCGCCGGCUAACUACGUG
rnacentral:rRNA from 1 species